UAAAUUUGGCCACCGGUCGGCUUUGAAUUUUCGCCAAACCUUGGCCAUGGUGUUUACCAUAUCAACUUACUCUACUUUUUUGUAGCUCUAAACACGUACAUUUUAGAACCAUUAGUUUAAAAGGCAUAAUUGACAAAAAUGUUGAUCGAUUUUGGAAUGAGAGUGUGCACAUUUUGGAUCACUGUGAGCCAAAUUUAACGAAUAUGAUGUUCAAAUGUGUUUACAUUAUACUUGGUUAAAUGCUAAAAUCCUUGAAUGUUAAAAAACGGUUCAGAGAGAAUGUUCAAAUUGUCAAUGUCACAAUAGGAUUACUGUAAAGCAUUAGAUAGACCGAUAAAAUUCAUACAUUGAACCCUAAGAUUAUGUAGUAAUCUUUAUAAUGUAUUUUACAAAUCAUCAUUUAAAUUAAGUAUUAUCCUAACUUAACCAGAGCUGGGAACUUUUGAAAGAGAUUUGGUUAAGCUAUAGCUACAGACAAAUAACUUAAACUCCGUAGCUUUGUAUAUAAUUCGCCUUAGUUAUGUACAGAAAGUACCGCCCAGCCCCUUCCUAAGUACCUGGCCAUUUUACCUAUUUCAGUAGCUUGGUUUAGUAUAAAUUUUGACAAAUUAGAAAUUGAUCAAAAAAGGAGGAGGGGGGAAUGAACUCUAAUGGGGAAAUACAUAUUUUCACUCCCUCCUGUACCGGCUCCUGUAUCUAAGGUUCCGGUUUUGAAACCAUUUUUAACUCUGCAUUUUUACUUUCUAGGCUGUUUCAUGAAUUAUAGAUGUUCUGACAUAAAAACAAAUUUAUAUUUUUAUCUGAAAAUUAUCUGAUUUGAUAUAAACCUUAUAAAUAUUAUUUUCUAGGUGUGGAUGCCAAAACGAGACGGAAUUAUUACAUCUCGAGACUAUGAGCAGAGAACUUCAGACAAGUAUCAGCUGUACAGGCCUCUGUGCAGACGAGUUUGAUGUUGGAUUACAACUAGAAUGUCCCGAGUAUCAGUAUCUGUGUAAGAAGUAUUUUAAUCACAAUACCAAAGUAACAUCAAGAAACUGUGCACAAACAGGUGUCUCUGCCACGUGGAAUCAUUCAGGGCAUCGAGAGAAGAGGUACCUGGCGGCCAACUAAUCGGCGUUUUGAGUGCAUUGUAUAUAAAACAAAUAAAAAAUAUUAUACAAUAUUAACUUAUACGAAUAUGCAUCGAAAAAUUAUCGCUGAUUAUAGGUCGUAAUAUCUGAAUGAUUUGUUUAGAAUUGUGUGGAUUUUUUAACGAUCCCAGUCGAAUGAUGCAACUUUCAAAACUUGUAUGGACGCUACGUUCUUCGGUAUAAGUCGUUUUUAACAAUGUUCUCAUUAUAGACGCAGCAAAUAGAAGUAAGAUUAAUAGCGAUCACCGAUCACCAUCGAUAAUUUUUCUCUGUAAGCCUAUACCCCGUUUCAUUUGUCACGAACACUCUCAUUAAUAAAUGUAAUCCAAAAUGAUUUAACCUGUGCUGUACCAGAAUCAUAAAUUACGGCUUAAAAAACACCCUGUAAUAUUAAUUACAGUAUUAAAUAACACCCUGUAUAUGAAUUACAGAAUUAAAAAAACACCCUGUAAUAUGAAUUACAGAAUUAAA